rnacentral:rRNA from 1 species
UACAGAGGUCUCGAGCGUUAAUCGGAGUCACUGGGCUUAAAGGGUGCGUAGGCGGUCCCGCAAGUGCUUGUGAAAUCCCAUGGCUCAACCAUGGAAUUGCUUGGCAGACUGCGGGGCUUGAGGUCGGUAGAGGUCGCUGGAACUCUAGGUGGAGCGGUGAAAUGCGUAGAUAUCUAGAGGAACGCCGAUGGUGAAGACAGGCGACUGGGCCGAUUCUGACGCUGAGGCACGAAAGCGUGGGAGCAAACGG